GCCGCCUAGAGGAGCCGGUUCCAGCUAACCACCUCCCCGUCGGGCUCUCGGUGCGUGGUUCCCAGGUGCUCAGCUCUGCCGGGCCCAGGAGGUGCCGCCUCGCAGGGACGCGGAACCGGGUGCGUGGCCCCCGUGGGGCGGACCAGAUAGCGCGCGGCGGUCCGGAGGCUCGUAGCCAAGCAGCACCAGAGACCCAAGUUGAGGAACAGCCUUUAAAAUAACUGGCCUGUACUCUUACAUACAUUAAAGCCAUCAAAGACAAAGACUGAAGAAAAACUUUUGCAGAUCAAAGGAGUUUAAGAGACAUGAUCCUGAACCGGAAAAAGUAAAAAAUAAAAAAAUAAAAAGCUUAGGUGAUGGAAAUGGGACUUGGAUGGCCAUUCUGAUGCUGACAUAUCUCUUCUUGACACCCUGAAGUACUACGAUUUUGGAGCUCGGCACAUGAGAAUUCAGAAGAGUUUGCGGAAGAG